AUGGGAGCUUGCUCCCUGAUGUUAGCGGCGGACGGGUGAGUAACACGUGGGUAACCUGCCUGUAAGACUGGGAUAACUCCGGGAAACCGGGGCUAAUACCGGAUGGUUGUUUGAACCGCAUGGUUCAGACAUAAAAGGUGGCUUCGGCUACCACUUACAGAUGGACCCGCGGCGCAUUAGCUAGUUGGUGAGGUAACGGCUCACCAAGGCGACGAUGCGUAGCCGACCUGAGAGGGUGAUCGGCCACACUGGGACUGAGACACGGCCCAGACUCCUACGGGAGGCAGCAGUAGGGAAUCUUCCGCAAUGGACGAAAGUCUGACGGAGCAACGCCGCGUGAGUGAUGAAGGUUUUCGGAUCGUAAAGCUCUGUUGUUAGGGAAGAACAAGUGCCGUUCAAAUAGGGCGGCACCUUGACGGUACCUAACCAGAAAGCCACGGCUAACUACGUGCCAGCAGCCGCGGUAAUACGUAGGUGGCAAGCGUUGUCCGGAAUUAUUGGGCGUAAAGGGCUCGCAGGCGGUUUCUUAAGUCUGAUGUGAAAGCCCCCGGCUCAACCGGG
rnacentral:rRNA from 1 species